AGUGAACGCUGGCGGUAGGCCUAACACAUGCAAGUCGAACGCGUGGCGGACGGGUGAGUAAUACAUCGGAAUCUACUCUGUCGUUGGGUAUACCUUAUGGAAACUUACGCUAAUACCGCAUACGAUUGAAUUAGCCGAUGUCUGAUUAGCUAGUUGGCAGGGUAAAGGCCAACCAAGGCGACUAUCCUUAGCUGGUCUGAGAGGAUGAUCAGACACAAUGGAACUGAGAAACGGUCCAGACUCCUACGGGAGGCAGCAGUGGGGAAUAUUGGACAAUGGGCGAAAGCCUGAGGCAGCCAUGCCGCGUGGGUGAAGAAGGUCUUCGGAGUGUAAAGCACUGUAAGUUGGGAGGCGUUACCCGCAGAAGAAGCACCGGCUAACUCCGUGCCAGCAGCCGCGGUAAUAC
rnacentral:rRNA from 1 species